rnacentral:misc_RNA from 1 species
UACGAAGGGGGCUAGCGUUGUUCGGAAUUACUGGGCGUAAAGCGCGCGUAGGCGGAUAAGUAAGUCAGGGGUGAAAUGCCGAGGCUCAACCUCGGAACUGCCUUUGAUACUGCUAAUCUGGAGUACGGGAGAGGUGAGUGGAAUUCCGAGUGUAGAGGUGAAAUUCGUAGAUAUUCGGAGGAACACCAGAAGCGAAGGCGGCUCACUGGCCAGAUACUGACGCUGAGGUGCGAAAGUGUGGGGAGCAAACAGG